AGGAACGUUAGCUGACCGUUAAAUUACAGUUAUGUCAGUUAACUGAAGGAACGUUAGCCGUUGGGACGUUAGCCGUUGGUUGAGCUAGCUGACGUUAACUAUCUAACUUCUCAGUGAAGUCGAGAGGAAACAAUGAGAGGUGAAAGCUCCAGGUGUGGUUACUCUGAAUUACAAGCCUGAAGCCCCAGGGACCAGGACCCUGCACCACUACCCGGAGAGGCAUCGCGAUCUCCGAAGCGCUCGUUGGUGAUGAACUGGUGGUGCGUUGGGACAAUGCCUGUGUGUCGUCUCGACGCCGUGUCGGCCUCUUCCUGUUCCCUCUUCAGCCGCCGCUGCUCCUCCAAGAUUUUCUGCCAGGAAACCACACUGAGUUGUUUGUACCCUUCCAGAUAUGGGUUUCUUCUACUCUUUUAUUCAUGUCACAUUAUCUUUUUUUUAUGUAUAAUAUAUGACUUCCUCAUUCAUAACACAGCUCUCUUGCCUAAAGCAUUCAGUGAGGGUGUAAUUAAAAUUUAAGUUUGCCUAAAUUUAAAA